CCCCGGCGAGGGGAGUGAAAAAGAACCUGAAACCGUGUACGUACAAGCAGUGGGAGCCCCACCACUAAGCCAGUGGUGAACUCCACAUACGCAUCCUUUGCUGAGGAUACGGUUAACGGAGCGAAAGCGACGUUCAACCGCAAAAGAAGCAGAGGGGGCUUAGUGGUGGGGUGACUGCGUACCUUUUGUAUAAUGGGUCAGCGACUUAUAUUCUGUAGCAAGGUUAACCGAAUAGGGGAGCCGGAGGGAAACCGAGUCUUAAUUGGGCGUUAAGUUGCAGGGUAUAGACCCGAAACCCGGUGAUCUAGCCAUGGGCAGGUUGAAGGUUGGGUAACACUAACUGGAGGACCGAACCGACUAAUGUUGAAAAAUUAGCGGAUGACCUGUGGCUGGGGGUGAAAGGCCAAUCAAACCGGGAGAUAGCUGGUUCUCCCCGAAAGCUAUUUAGGUAGCGCCUCGUGAAUUCAUCUCCGGGGGUAGAGCACUGUUUCGGCUAGGGGGCCAUCCCGGCUUACCAACCCGAUGCAAACUGCGAAUACCGGAGAAUGUUAUCACGGGAGACACACGGCGGGUGCUAACGUCCGUCGUGAAGAGGGAAACAACCCAGACCGCCAGCUAAGGUCCCAAAGUCAUGGUUAAGUGGGAAACGAUGUGGGAAGGCCCAGACAGCCAGGAUGUUGGCUUAGAAGCAGCCAUCAUUUAAAGAAAGCGUAAUAGCUCACUGGUCGAGUCGGCCUGCGCGGAAGAUGUAACGGGGCUAAACCAU
rnacentral:rRNA from 1 species